CUUGAUGACACAGCAGUCUCUGAUUGGUUAAAGGCUAGCACGACAUUUUUCUCAAGUUUUUUUUUUAAGAGUUUUGUUGAAAGCAUUGCAUAAUCUUGCAAAAGGGGUAGUAUGAGGUAUUGCUGAUUUAUAUUUUAAGUCUUUUGUCUCCCUUUGCCCUCCCUUGUGGGUGCCACAAUGCUUUCAGCGGACCUUUUACGGCUACUACUUGUUUUGGUGUUUCCACAUGUAAGCUGUUCUGGUAAUUAUGCAGGAAGAAGAGCAAGAAGUACUUUCCAAGCCUUCAACUCCUACAUCCAGAAUCAAAAUCAAGGCACCCCAAGAAGCUAUGCAGCCCCUGGUUAUAUUCAAAACUCACACUCAUCUCCGUACCAAGUUCCAAGACUCUCCAAUCAUGUCCAGGCAGUUAGCGGCAGUGCUAGCUUACCUGAAAAUGGUGCUACUGCAUCUCGUGCAAGUGGAGUCCAAUACAAAACCAGUUCUGAGUUUGGAAAGCUGUACUGGGAUAGAUCCAAACUAAGCCUCACUACCCCAUCAAUUGUCAGUUCUGGAGGGAUUGUUUUAGUGCAGGAUAAGCCUUUAGCUGCUAAGAAACCACUUUCAAAACACAAUGCUAGUUCUAGAUUGCGGAAUUCUAAUCUUUCUAAUUGGUUUAGAGGUGGCUUGUCUUCUGGAACGAUCUGGUCAGGCAGCAUUUCCUCUAACUCGCAUAAUGGAGCAUUGGAUUCUUCUGGACUUGGGGGAAAUCAGAACAAAAAUAGCAACAACCUUGUUUUUGGAUCUAAUGUUUUUGGCUUGUCUCAAGGUUUUUCUGGUUCUGUUUUUGAUGGCACUGCCCUUGGAUCAAGACAAAACAACCAAGAAAUGGGAUCUGCAUUUUCGGCUCAGGAGAAGCUUCAAACUGCGGCUCAGAGACACUUUGUUCUUCCACAAGCUCCUAGAUGCGUUACUGAUCUCUCAACUACAUAUGGUCAAGGAUCCAUUCGAAGAUGUCCCAGACUUGAUGGCUCUACACAAAUUUCAACCCAGAGUGAUGACUCCUCUGGAUCUAGGUUGGAUCAGUUCACCCAAAACUAUCCUCCAAGCAGGUUUUCAUUCACUGGUAAAACGUAUGGCUUCUCAGAGGCAGUGCAGAUUAGCUCUAGUACUGAAGGCAGAACAUUGUCUGCAUCUAAAAGUCCUGCAUCUUUGUGGACUGGCAGUGGAGGACACCAGUUAUUCCCUGGAGUGACUCAAACUGCCAACACUAACCAGGCCACUGUGCCUUCUCAGCACAUGCAAUCAAGUCAUGCUUCCAACUUGUUUUAUCCCAGGUAUAAAAACGAAAAUACUAGGUCAGGUGACCAUACGGUCACUAGAGAUAUGCCUCAAAUUACAAAUGCAAUGCAAAGUCACUAUGGUACUCCAAUGCUUGGAACUGCAGCUCAACCUGACCAUUUUUUACCUUCAAGUGUGAAUAGUGGAAGCAUCCCAAGUUUUUCAAUGUCUGGAUCAGAGUCAGGACAAGUCAGUGGAGGUGCUAGUAGGCCCAAUUGUGAUGCUGUGAAUCCAGUUUCUGACCAAACUUCCCAAAGAUCUCCUGGUGCUUGGACUGCUCAGCCAAGUGAGAAUGUGAGCACUUCAGGUUCUAAUGUUUACCACGUAAGGGUCCUGAGCAAUAACAUUGCUGCUGCCCCUCAUUGGACCCAUGCUGACUUGUACAGAAUUGUUUCUGCUCUCAGUGGAGAUGAAGCUGCUAGAAGGUUAAAGUACCCUGAGGUAACGUUUUACAAACAGGACAGAACAUUUUAACCAUAGUACUUUGGAUCAAACCCCUCUGUAAGCAGCAUGCGUUAAAAGACCUGUCAGUGACUAAAGACGUUUUGGCAGAGUAGGCAAUGACCAGGCCAUUCCAAUAACCUUCAGUCGUUUCAGAUGUAUUGUCUGAACAGUGAAAUCUGUAAACUGUGCUGGAUUCUAUCUGGUGUGGCCUGUUAUAUGAAGUGUUGUGCAAUAAAGUCC
ensembl:lncRNA